GACGAACGCUGGCGGCGUGCUUAACACAUGCAAGUCGAACGAGCGGCGAACGGGUGAGUAAUGUCUCGGAAAGUACCUAGUGGUGGGGGAUAACUGGUGGAAAGGGCAGCUAAUACCGCAUAUUAUCAGAGCUGCCGAUCUCUGAUUAGCUGGUUGGCGGGGUAAAGGCCCACCAGGGCGACGAUCAGUAGCGGGUCUGAGAGGAUGACCAGCCACACUGGGACUGAGACACGGUCCAGACUCCUACGGAAGGCAGCAGUGGGGAAUAUUGCACAAUGGGCGCAAGCCUGAUGCAGCCAUGCCGCGUGUGUGAAGAAGGCCUUCGGGUUGUAAAGCACUUUCAGCGGGGAGGCGUUACCCGCAGAAGAAGCACCGGCUAACUCCGUGCCAGCAGCCGCGGUAAUUC
rnacentral:rRNA from 1 species